GCUCCAUAUUUGACUGAGCUCAGUUAGAGAGAAAGAUUUUCAGAAAGCCAUCUCAGGACUUCAGAAGACUUCAAAUAUAGCAUGUGAAUCAUAUGAACUACUUUAAUAGUGUUUUUGGCUUUUUUUUUUGGAGCUUGAUAAGGAUCUUGAUGGAGCCAUAAAACAGUUGUAUGAAAAAAAGGGGUGUGUACAUUCUACAAAAUGUGUUUUCCCCAGAUAAAAUAACAGCUGAGGCAUUUGGAAUAACAUAAGGGGUUGGCUUCUGGCUCCAGGUUCUUCUUCCAGCGCAUCUUGGCAUAGUCUGUGAUCAAUGACUCCUCAGUCACCUCAGGGUCACUGCUUCUGUCACAGCAUCUAUGGCACUACCACCCUUCUGAAGGAUGUCAUAUCCAGCCCUUGCUGCCUCCUUCACACCGGCACAGGAUUGUUCAGUUCUCUCCCUGGGAACAGUUCCAGCACCUCCAUGCACCACCACUACAG